GACGAACGCUGGCGGCGUGCUUAACACAUGCAAGUCGAACGGAAAGGCCCUGCUUUUGUGGGGUGCUCGAGUGGCGAACGGGUGAGUAACACGUGAGUAACCUGCCCUUGACUUUGGGAUAACUUCAGGAAACUGGGGCUAAUACCGGAUAGGAGCUCCUGCUGCAUGGUGGGGGUUGGAAAGUUUCGGCGGUUGGGGAUGGACUCGCGGCUUAUCAGCUUGUUGGUGGGGUAGUGGCUUACCAAGGCUUUGACGGGUAGCCGGCCUGAGAGGGUGGCGGGCCACAUUGGGACUGAGAUACGGCCCAGACUCCUACGGGAGGCAGCAGUGGGGAAUAUUGCACAAUGGGCGGAAGCCUGAUGCAGCAACGCCGCGUGCGGGAUGACGGCCUUCGGGUUGUAAACCGCUUUCGCCUGUGACGAAGCGUGAGUGGCGGUAAUGGGUAAAGAAGCACCGGCUAACUACGUGCCAGCCGCCGCCGUAA
rnacentral:rRNA from 1 species